rnacentral:lncRNA from 10 species
CCCCAGUUCUAGGCAUUAGCUUUUGAACAGCAUUUCUGGACCUGCCUGGGGCCAGAGAGAAGCCUAUUGUCCUGAAGGGAGAGAGCUAGGCCUGGCAACAUUCAACCCAGCUGGCUGAAGAGCCCUUGGGCCUUGAGUGAACAUCGGCAAUAGCCAAGCAGUAAUUGUCACAGGUCUGGAGCAGUGGUGGCCACAAGAGACAACUUCCUUUGCAUGAGAAAAGGAGAGGGAAGGGUGGAAAGAACGUUGAUUUGCAGCUUGGGUAACAACUCGGCCACAGUAGAACAGCGCACCAAAUACAUUCCAGAGUUUUCUGACUUCAGCCCUGACUCCCAGAGGGCAAUCAUAGACUCACCUUAGGCUGAGGGGAAGCUCAUUGCCCUGAAGCGUAGGACACAUGUCUGACUAGAUUCACCACUUGCUGACUGGAGAGCCCUUGGGCUUUGAAUAAACACCAGCAGAAACCAGGCAGCGGUCACCUUGAGCCUUGGGUAAGACCCGGCGCUGUGCAGCCUUCAGGUCCGUCGCACCCUUCUCAGCUUCAGGCAGCUCUCCAUGAAGAGGGACAUCGAAUUGCUGAAACAACAGAAAUUUAUUUUCUCACAAUUCGGGAGACCAGAAGUCCGAGAUUAAGGUCAGCAAGGUUGGUUCCUCCUGAGGGUGUGAGUGAGAAUCUCUUUGAGGCCUCUUUCCUGGUUUCUGUGGUUUGCAGGCAAUCUUUGUUAAUCCUUGACUUGUAGAAACAUUACCCCAAUCUCUGUCUUCUUGUUUAUGUGAUGUUCUUCCUGUGUAUCUGUCUGUGUCCAGACAUCCCACAAAUUCAUAUUGGAGAUCCAACAUCUUUUAGUUUUAAGUAUGUCCUUCAGAGAAUAAUCUUGCAACAGUGGAGAUUGUCUGCAGGUGUCAGCUGCCGAUUGUGAGCAGAGGCUUUCAGAAGCAGUGCCCCAGAGCUUUGCUUGCCCUCCUGAGAACAGCAUGCCCAACAGCGACCCCGCCUUCCGUCCAUGUUCCGGAAUGAGACAGUACAUGGCACAGAGCCGAGCCCCGCCAAUCUCAGAUGAGCCCCGCCCAGUCACUGCCAGCCCACAGACCUACAAUAGCAGGUCCUCUUUGCCACAGCCAAAGCUAUCUAAUGUCGAUAUAUAUUUAAACAGGAAAAAAAAAUGCCUUACAGAGUUUAAAAGAAUUAGUGGACCGGCCGGGCGCGGUGGCUCACGCCUCUAAUCCCAGCACUUUGGGAGGCCAAGGCGGGCGGACGAAGAGGUCAGGAGAUCGAGACCAUCUUGGCGAACACGGUAAAACCCUGUCUCUACUAAAAAUACAAAAAAUUAGCCGGGCGUGGUGGCG